rnacentral:rRNA from 1 species
AGUGAACGCUGGCGGUAGGCCUAACACAUGCAAGUCGAACGGCAGCACAGUAAGAGCUUGCUCUUACGGGUGGCGAGUGGCGGACGGGUGAGGAAUACAUCGGAAUCUACUUUUUCGUGGGGGAUAACGUAGGGAAACUUACGCUAAUACCGCAUACGACCUACGGGUGAAAGCAGGGGAUCUUCGGACCUUGCGCGAUUGAAUGAGCCGAUGUCGGAUUAGCUAGUUGGCGGGGUAAAGGCCCACCAAGGCGACGAUCCGUAGCUGGUCUGAGAGGAUGAUCAGCCACACUGGAACUGAGACACGGUCCAGACUCCUACGGGAGGCAGCAGUGGGGAAUAUUGGACAAUGGGCGCAAGCCUGAUCCAGCCAUACCGCGUGGGUGAAGAAGGCCUUCGGGUUGUAAAGCCCUUUUGUUGGGAAAGAAAAGCAGCAGGUUAAUACCCCGCUGCUCUGACGGUACCCAAAGAAUAAGCACCGGCUAACUUCAUG